CUUGUGACAGGUCUUCGAGCAACAUUGUGGACCGUACAGUGGAAUUCUUCUAUUGGCUGUUGCUGGUGUCUCUCUCAGUGUCAACGUCUUGUACACAAUCUACGUGGUGUUCCUUUGUAAAAGAAGAAAGAGUGUGAAGCCAAAAGAAGAGGAGAUGACUUACAUGUCUUUGGAUCGUAGAGACACAUCUCCAGAGUAUGAUGUCAUUGCCCAAACUCCAAAA